AGGGAGUUGACAUUUUGACAAAGUCUCUUGGAAGAGUAAAACUUAUCGAGAUGAGGAAGUUGAUUGGAGUUCAAAUGGUGAGUGAAGAUAACUUCAAGUUUAAGAGUGAGAAUGUUGGGAUAAACUUGAAGUUAGCUUGAGUUGCAAGCUAUCCUAACCACAUAAAGAUAUGGAUUACUAAAGUGAUUAGGAAAUAUGUGUUUGUGUUAUCCCUAAUAAAAAUAGGAAUUGUCUUGUCCUAUAUAAGUGAAUACCAAUGUGUGGCAAUGAUUUUAUGGGUUUUGUGAUUGAGUGAUUAAUAAGAAACUGAUAUUUGAUAAUCGAGUUCUUGUGUUCGUGUUUCAUACAAACUUGAUACUGUGAGAUAAUGAAGUGAAAAAUGAA
rnacentral:lncRNA from 1 species